UACGUAGGAUCCAAGCGUUAUCCGGAUUUACUGGGCGUAAAGCGUGUGUAGGCGGUUUGUUAAGUGGGACGCGAAAUCCGGUGGCUCAACCAUCUGGACUGUGUCCUAUACUGGCAAACUUGAGGUCGGCAGAGGCAAGUGGAAUUACGGGUGUAGCAGUGAAAUGCGUAGAGAUCCGUAGGAACACCAAUGGCGAAGGCAGCUUGCUGGGCCGAAUCUGACGCUGAGACACGAAAGCGUGGGGAGCGAACAGG
rnacentral:rRNA from 1 species